UGAGGAUUGGAUCAAGUGUUUUCAUAGUAGUUAUAACACUACAUUUGAUCAAUUCUGAGAUGGAGAUUUUCACAUUAACAUAUUCAACAUUUUUACAGAGAAUAGCACGUCACAGUUAAAUCAGCAGUGUUUUGGGUAUUUGGGUUCUUAGUGACACAUAACUAAUAUAUCUUAUAAUCAGUGAUAUCUUUUUUACUAUUUAUAGCUGUAGAUGGACACAAUACCUUUAUUUUAUUUAUUUUUACGUAGUGCUGAGAAUCAAACCCAGUGUCUCACACGUGCCAGGAAAGUGUAUCUACCACUGAGCGUCAAACCCAGCCCCAAUCAGUGAUAUCUUAGCUUCAAUUAAAUAAGAGCAGUUAAACUUACUUUUAUAUAGGAAUUUAUACACAAGUAUCUUAAUUGAGCCUCAGGAUAAUUGUAAAAGUAGAAAUAAUUGUUAUUUUUGUCUCUUUUACAAAUGAGGAAAUUGAAGCCCAGAACUUGUCUAGGGUCAUACAACUAAAAUCAGUACAACACUCAAUAUUUUUAUAGGCUUUAUCAUAUAUAAAACAUUGCAAUAUACAUUAUUUUAUUUACUCAGAUCUUGAUAACAAGUACAAAAGUUUUCCUUGAACCAUGUUAUCAGGGUAAGCAAAAGCAGCCACCUUCAGAGGAGCAAUGUCAGGCCUCUUCUGGGAUUUUAUGUACAAUCACUGGGCUUUCUCUUUAUAACGUAAACCUUAAUGCAGUCUUUUGUAAUUGAGUAACUUGAAAAUUUAUUGUGAUAUUAUUUUAACAUUUAGAAGGUAAAUUCAGUUGAUGGACACUUUGCACAAUAGAUUCUUUUGAAGUACACAUACGUGCACACACACAGGAUAGAAACUACCUGUGGCUUUCAUGGAGUACAUAUGUAGACCACAAAUGUAUUGAGCAUCUGUAUUUCUACAAAGAUUCACAGUUCCUGCAGCAAAAAGAUUGGGUCAAAGUAUAGAGAAUAUCAGACUCCGGCGGGAAAAAACGUCCUUGUUACACUUAUUAGCUAACAUUUAUUAUGCGCCAAGUAUGAUCCAUUUUUUAAAUGUGCAGUAAUUGGUAUUACACUAAAGAACUGAACUGGGAAUGCUAUUUAACCUGAUCUUUAUUCACUUAUCCUUAGAAAAUUCUUGUCACGCUCCUCCCUGAAAAGCAGAACUUAAUGGCAAGAUCCUUGUGCAGAUCAACAUAGUUAUUAGGUGUUGAUGGCUUCCUUCCUUCUCCCUUAGCAUUUUUUUAUUUUUAUAUGCUAAUUCUUCAAAAUUUCCUUUCCUAUAUUUUCUUAUUUCACUUUCUCUUGGCACAAUUGCAAAGUAGUUAUUUUUCUUUGUGUUUUACUCUCCUCUUUGGGGAUGCACAUGCCGAGUCAUUUCUGAGGGCAGUAUUCCUUCCUCCAGCAAAGCUUCCUGGCCCCAAAUUGGGGUAUUCACAAGUUAUAUGCUGGUUUAUAUUCAGAACAGAAUCUUCCUUGGUGGUUUUCUUCAUACAUGUCAGAGUAAACAUGUGUUAGCAAUAGAGGUAGAAAACCAGACGGAAGACAGGAGGGGCUGCUCCUCAACAUGCUUUUCCUUCAUGGUAGAACUCUGGGCCUUCCGUGUGGGUUUGUCUUCUAGAUGGAAAAAUGACCAUUUGAACCUAUAACCACUGAAUGCAGUAGCUGAACAUGUGGGAGUCUGAAGGCAUUAAGGAGCGCAGAGAUGACUUGCAAUGGGCAGCAGCAACAAAUUCAUCACCUACACUGCAAGCAGGAUUUAUUUUCGCUCUCACUUGUAUAGCAAUCCUGAUUUCCAUUUUAAUAUUUAGAAGGUAAGUUUAGUUGAUGGACACUUUGUGUAAUAAAAGGCUCUUUUAAAAGUACGUGCACACACACGCACACAGGAUAGAGUGUUCAGCCAGUGCCCAUGGCUCUCAUGGAGUACAUUUGUGGAGCACAAAGCUUAGUCCUGGAUAUGUUUAUAGCACUUUAGCUCUGUUUGUGAGUUUGGAACCCUUCCAAUAAAAGAAGAGAAAGACAUAUAUUAUUGUUUAUAAUCUGCUUUAUUCCGCCAAACCUUGACUGAACAGACUUGUGGAUUGCUGUUUAAAUCCCUCAGUGCCUUUAACUACCGAUACAGAAAGUGGUUAAUGUGCAUUCUGUACGAAGCUUGGCGUCCACUCCAGGAAAUCACUUUAAUUGAGAAGCAUUAAAUGUUAAAAUGAUUUUUUUUAAAAGCCAGCACAUAUAUUGACUAUAAAAGUCCUGGCCCACCAUAAUAUAGUUUCUUGUUUAUCGUAUGAUUCCAGCCUGGUAAGCUUUAAGCCCUGCAGUUGACAGGUGUCGAAAAAGUGACUUUAAUUCCCUAGGUCACUAUCUGCAGGCAGCCACCCAUCAGCUGGCCAGUGACCAGGCAGCCUUGAAGGACUCCACUUAGGAGGAGGGGAGGAAGCUGUCAACUUUAUGGAUAUUUGUUUUUCUGCAAUAAUAAACUAGUCCCAGGUGACUAAAAUAUGAGAUUUAACCCCAAAGUCCUUGCCUGGGCUUUCCAUUGCUGUGCAGAAGCCAUCUGUUGAAACCUAUUUACCAUUUUAAUAGCCUUUAAAAAAAAAAAAAGUCCUGCUUAUUUCCAACUGCAAGUGUGUGCCAGUACCUCUUUUUUUUGGGGGGGGGGCUAUAUUUUAUCUUUCAUGAAGUAGUUUCCAGCUUUACCCAAAUCCCCAUGCCUCUCCCAACCACAGAAGAUCCUAGACCAGAUUUGGUAAGCAAGAGGAAGAUAAGAAGGGAGGGGAGACAGAAAUAGGAAAGACAUGGAGUGAAACUGACUGAACUUUCCCGUGUACAUAUAUAAAUGCACCACCAUGGAUCUCCAUAUCCAUGUACAGCCACAAGACUGGGAUUCUAAUUAGAGUAAGAUGUACUCCGUGUUUGUAUAAAUAUGUCAAAAUAUAUUCUACUGUCAUGUACAAC
rnacentral:lncRNA from 1 species